rnacentral:rRNA from 1 species
AGAGCGAACGCUGGCGGCAGGCCUAACACAUGCAAGUCGAGCGCCCGUAGCAAUACGGGAGCGGCAGACGGGAUAGUAACACGUGGGAACGCGCCCUUCGGUUCGGAAUAACUCAGGGAAACUUGAGCUAAUACCGGAUACGCCCUUACGGGGAAAGAUUUAUUGCCGAAGGAACGGCCCGCGUCCGAUUAGCUAGUUGGUGAGGUAAUGGCUCACCAAGGCGACGAUCGGUAGCUGGUCUGAGAGGAUGACCAGCAUCACUGGGACUGAGACACGGCCCAGACUCCUACGGGAGGCAGCAGUGGGGAAUAUUGCACAAUGGGCGGAAGCCUGAUGCAGCGACGCCGCGUGAGGGAUGACGGCCUUCGGGUUGUAAACCUCUUUCAGCAGGGACGAAGCGAAAGUGACGGUACCUGCAGAAGAGCGCCGGCCAACUACGUGCCAGCACGCCGC